AUUUCUCACCGUUCUAGAGGCUGGGAACUCCAACAUCAAGGUGCCAGCAUCUGCAGAUGGGUCAUCGGCAACGGGAGGCAGAACAUGGCAGCGCUGGAGAGCACGGGGCCGCAUUCCCUUUACACCAAAUGCACUCCGUAUUCAUGGUAUUGAUCCUGCGCUUGAAGGGAAAACAUUCUAUAAGAGGAGUAUUUGUUGUCUCCUGAGCCCAUCUAGAUCUACCUGAACUUGCUGCUUUUGGUAAGAAGGCAGCGUUUUGACUUAAGUGGGUGAGGAAGUCUAGCAGCCUCAGGUCCCCACACGGAAUGCCUGUGUAUACUUGUCAGCAUCGGUUCCAACUCCUUUAAUCCUCAGCGUGUGAAGGAGGGAGAGGAUUUUUCUCUUUGACAGUGUCCGACAGAUUCUCCUGUUUGAGGAGCGUUCCUGGCUAGUGACGUGGAGGAGCACUCACCAAGAGAGAAGGGGUUGAUUUUAUCCCUGAAAACCCAGCUCUGUGGUACGUUCUAGAAGCUCUCAACGUGCAGGUGAGUUUUACUCAAAGGCUUUUCUGGGAAAAAGGAAACCUUCUGAAAUGAGAGAUUGUUGUUUAAAUUCUCAUUCUUCUUUCCCCUUCUCCCCCAAGUCUGAUGGUGCGCACCAGAAGCUUCUCCAUCCUGUUGAAUCUAAUGAGAACGUCACGUGGGCAAGCGUUCUGUUAACACCCCAAACAGCUGCAGCCGCAGACUGGCACCACAUCAUGAAAGGCAGACGGGAACACAUUCUAGUGAAACGCAGCAGGAUCAUAUGUUACCGGGACACCUACAGCAGGUGAGGUGUGCAUAGGGACACUCAGUGCCCGCCCAGGAGCUCGCUGUCCACUCGGAAGACAGCAUCAGACCACCUGGCAGGAGGGACACAGACUAAGUUCCACAAGGUACAGAGGACAAAGAACUGAGUUCAGCCACAGUGACCUGGGAAAAGAUCGUGGAGGGACUGGAUUUUAAAUUGAAGUCGGGGAACAGAUAGAGAAAGAAAAGGCAUUUUACUGUCAUGGGUGAAAGAAGUGAAGUCACCCAGGAAGGGAACUGCUGGGCAUGUGGGAAGAGCAGUGGGCAGCGCUCCACAGGCUGGCUGCAGAGUGCGGGGUGGCCGGGCAAUGGGGCCGGCCCACUGCUCAAAGCCCGUCACGGAGGGCCUCGCAGCCUAGCUUAAACAGGAACUCACAGGUGGCUUUCGACUAGGUGAGUGACUUCAAGAGAGGGCUUUAAAGCGUGAAUCUGAGCAGCUGUGUCCAAGAUAGGCUGAAUGGGGGCCAGCCUGCCCAGAGAGUGCAGGAGACAGCCCAGGGAGCCGGUGGCAGAAACUAAAAGGAAGAGCCACCGGGGAGGUGCUGGGAUGGAAGAACAAAGGGAUUUGGGGCGGCAGACAAGGGAGAAGUGCACGAGUUAUUCCGGGGUUCUGAGUUUGGGGUGACGAAAGAUCCCACAAAUGGAAGGGGCACGGUCGGGAGCAGGCCCAGGGGGUGGCCCGUCCUCAGUCCGGCUGCUCGCCGUGUCUGGGGUCCAGGUGGACCCAGGUGCAAUGCAGAGCUCAAGGGAAGGAGGGAAGAGGCUGGAGUUGGUCACGAAGAGACACAGACCCAGAGGUGGACGGGAUCUCUGAAGGACGAUGCCUAAAGGGGAAAGAACAAAGGACAGAACUUCUGGGAGUGCCCACAUUGAAGGAGAAGCAAAAGAGGAAGAAACACAGAAGGCACUACGAGGGCCUGGAGGUCAGUAAAUGCACUGCCAUGAGGUCGGGGGGCAAUGAGGGGGUGUCUGUGUCUGGUUCAU
ensembl:lncRNA